AUUGAACGCUGGCGGCAGGCCUAACACAUGCAAGUCGAGCGGAGCGGCGGACGGGUGAGUAAUGCCUAGGAAUCUGCCUGGUAGCGGGGGAUAACGUUCGGAAACGGGCGCUAAUACCGCUAACUAUCAGAUGAGCCUCGGUCGGAUUAGGUAGUUGGUGGGGUAAAGGCCUACCAAGGCGACGAUCCGUAACUGGUCUGAGAGGAUGAUCAGUCACACUGGAACUGAGACACGGACCAGACUCCUACGGGAGGCAGCAGUGGGGAAUGUUGGACAAUGGGCGAAAGCCUGAUCCAGCCAGGCCGCGUGUGUGAAGAAGGUCUUCGGAUUGUAAAGCACUUUAAGUUGGGAGGCGGUACCAGCAGAAUAAGCACCGGCUAACUACGUGCCAGCAGCCGCGGUAAUAC
rnacentral:rRNA from 1 species